GCCUUCGGAGCUGCCCGAAGCCCCCGGAGUGCAGCGGGAGUUCCCACUGCGCUCCGGGGGCUUCAGGCAGCUUCAGCGAAAGC